UAGCUCAACUGGUAGAGUGUGGUGUUAACACUGCCAGGGAUAGCGGUUCAAUUCCCACUCGCACCA